rnacentral:rRNA from 1 species
GAGAUUGGGAGAGGGAUGUGGAAUUCCAGGUGUAGCGGUGAAAUGCGUAGAUAUCUGGAGGAACACCGGUGGCGAAGGCGGCAUCCUGGACCGGCAUUGACGCUGAGGCGCGAAAGCCAGGGGAGCAAACGGGAUUAGAUACCCCGGUAGUCCUGGCCCUAAACGAUGAAUGCUUGGUGUGGCGGGUAUCGAUCCCUGCCGUGCCGAAGCUAACGCAUUAAGCAUUCCGCCUGGGGAGUACGGUCGCAAGGCUGAAACUCAAAUGAAUUGACGGGAGGUUGGGAGAGGGAUGUGGAAUUCCGGGUGUAGUGGUGAAAUGCGUAGAGAUCCGGAGGAACCCCAGAGGCGAAGGCGGCAUCCUGGCCCACGACUGACACUCAGACACGACAGCAUGGGGAGCGAACGGGAUUAGAAACCCCGGUAGUCCAUGCCGUAAACGAUGCCAACUAGGCGUUGGGGGACUCAACCCCCCCGGUGCCGCAGCAAACGCGAUAAGUUGGCCGCCUGGGGAGUACGGCCGCAAGGCUAAAACUCAAAUGAAUUGACGG